rnacentral:rRNA from 1 species
GUGGGGAAUAUUGGACAAUGGGCGAAAGCCUGAUCCAGCCAUGCCGCGUGAGUGAUGAAGGCCCUAGGGUUGUAAAGCUCUUUCACCGGGGAAGAUAAUGACGGUACCCGGAGAAGAAGCCCCGACUAACUUCGUGCCAGCAGCCGCGGUAAUACGAAGGGGGCUAGCGUUGUUCGGAAUUACUGGGCGUAAAGCGCACGUAGGCGGAUCGGUCAGUUAGGGGUGAAAUCCCAGGGCUCAACCCUGGAACUGCCUUUAAUACUGGCUGUCUUGAGUACGGGAGAGGUGAGUGGAACUCCGAGUGUAGAGGUGAAAUUCGUAGAUAUUCGGAAGAACACCAGUGGCGAAGGCGACUCACUGGCCCGUUACUGACGCUGAGGCGCGAAAGCGUGGGGAGCAAACAGGAUUAGAAACCCCAGUAGUCC